rnacentral:rRNA from 1 species
AUGAAUAAAUUCAGAAGAACACUCGAGUUGGAUGCAAUCUGUAACAAAUGUGGCUGCAAGGAAGAGGAUGAGUUCCAUGUUGUAGUAGAAUGCACAAAAAGUAGAGCGUUGAGAGAAGCCCUUAGAGAAAACUGGGAUCUCCCCGCAGAAAACGCUUUUCGUCGAACUGGCCCAGAUUGGCUGCAGAUGCUUUUAUGCCCUGAAACUAAGGAAAAAAGAGCCAGGAUUCUCAUGAUGUUCUGGAGGAGCUGGCAUCUACGUGACGACAUUGUGUAUGGGAAUGGAAAGGAGCCCAUCAAAAAAUCUGUGAUUUUCCCGCUACAGUAUGAGGAAGAAAUGGAGAAAGCGUUGUUGGCGCCAAAUGGUGGAAAGACCCCUUGGCAUGCCGCUACUGACACGUCAAGACAGACGGCACACGAGUGGAAAUAG